CCUACGGGGGGCAGCAGUGGGGAAUAUUGCACAAUGGGGGAAACCCUGAUGCAGCGACGCCGCGUGAGUGAAGAAGUAAUUCGUUAUGUAAAGCUCUAUCAGCAGGGAAGAAAAUGACGGUACCUGAGUAAGAAGCCCCGGCUAACUACGUGCCAGCAGCCGCGGUAAUACGUAGGGGGCAAGCGUUAUCCGGAUUUACUGGGUGGAAAGGGAGCGUAGACGGCAGUGCAAGUCUGGAGUGAAAGGCGGGGGCUCAACCCCCGGACUGCUCUGGAAACUGUACGGCUGGAGUGCAGGAGAGGUAAGUGGAAGUCCUAGUGUAGCGGUGAAAUGCGUAGAUAUUAGGAGGAACACCAGUGGCGAAGGCGGCUUACUGGACUGUAACUGACGUUGAGGCUCGAAAGCGUGGGGAGCAAACAGGAUUAGAUACCCUUGUAGUC
rnacentral:rRNA from 1 species